rnacentral:rRNA from 1 species
UACGGGGGGGGCAAGCGUUGUUCGGAAUUACUGGGCGUAAAGGGCUCGUAGGCGGCCAACUAAGUCGGAUGUGAAAUCCCCAGGCUUAACCUGGGGACUGCGCUUGUUACUGGCAGGCUUGAGUGUGGCAGAGGGGGGUGGAAUUCCACGUGUAGCAGUGAAAUGCGUAGAGAUGUGGAGGAACACCGAUGGCGAAGGCAGCCCCCUGGGCUAACACUGACGCUCAUGCACGAAAGCGUGGGGAGCAAACAGG